GACGAACGCUGGCGGCGUGCUUAACACAUGCAAGUCGAACGGUAAGGCCCUUCUUUUGUUGGUUUCUCGAGUGCCGAACGGGUGAGUCACACGUGUGUAACCUGCCCUUGUCUUUGGGAUAACUUCAGGUAACUUCGGCUAAUACCCGAUAUGAUCUCCUGCUGCAUGGUGUGGGUUGGAUAUUUUCGGCGGUUGGGGAUUGACUCGCGGCUUAUCAGCUUGUUUGUGGGGUAGUGGCUUACCAAGGAUUUGACGGGUAGCCGGCAUGUGAGGGUGAACGGCGACAAUGGGACUGAGAUAGGGACCAGAGGGCAAGGGGAGGCAGCAGUGGGGAAUAGUGCACAAUGGGCGGAAGCGUGAUGGAGAAACGCCGGGUGCGGGAUGACGGCCUUCGGGUAGUAAAAAGAUUUCGACUGAGACGAAGAGAGAGUGACGGUAAUGGGUAAAGAAGCACCGGCUAACUACGUG
rnacentral:rRNA from 1 species